UGUCGUUACCAUACAUUAAUACCUAAUCUUCCCAAAUAUGGUAUAAUUUUAUAAUUAUCAUCAAAAAAAUCAUCCAAACACAAUAUUAGAGUUAAAUGUAAAAACUGCAUUUUUACAUGAUGAAUUGGAGGAGCAGAUGAGGAGAAAAGAAAGAGGAGGAAAUAAUCAUAAAAUCCUUUCCUUUUGUUUGGAUUGAAAUUUUUGGAAGAAAUGGUAAAGAAAAGCAAUCUCAAAUCUUUAUUUUUCAAUUCCUUCAAAUUGGAGGAAACAAAGGGAAAUUAUCUUAGUUGUCUCCAUCUCCAUCAAGGCUUGAAAACUUUGAAUCAAGGUGCUACAUCGUAUUUUUCUCCUUAGUUUACCCUUCACCGCGUGUGAUUUACGAAAAUCUUUAGCCUGUUGCCAUUUAUGGUCGUAUCUAGAGGGGCAUACUCUAAUUACUUUUCCCUUCUUAAUUUAGUAUUGUUUGGUGAUUUCAAUUUGACAAAAAACCUAAGACACUUAGAAUUAAGAAAUCACCUUUUCUCCUACAAUUACAAACCGCCAUCCAAUGAGCUUUGUCGCAUCCAUAGCUGGACUUUCAUUUCCAUAACUGUAAGUCAAUGCAUUGACGUAUUCAACAAUGGCUAUAACCGAAUAUCCCUCUACAGUUUAUACCCUAAAAAAGUGACAUCAAAACAAUGGACAAGAAACUGUUGUUUUACACACCCUAGCAAACAAACUAUAGAUAUUUACCGCUAAAACCCACCUUUUAAUCAAUCAACCAGUCCCCACUAAAUCCCAGAAAUACACACAAAGUUGGUUAAGACAAUCAAGAUUCAAGAUUCCCCCAGUUCCAAACAUUCCAAGAUGAGCCAAUCGUAAAUAAGGUUAGUUCAGGGGUGCAUUCAAAGAAGUGAAGCAUGCCAAAACAGCAAAAGCAUUAUUAGAAUACCAAGAUCCAAAAUCAUCCCCGCGAGCAUUUACCUCCUUAAUACAAACCAAAUUCCAACAUGAUAAACUGAUGGGCCUCAUUUUCAUUUACUGAAAAGCAACUGCAUGCUGCUUGGCAUCCGUAAAAUCAGACCCAUCAAAACUUCCAUUUAAUUGGAAGUGAGAACAUACAUGAGUGUUGUUCCUACCAUAGAGGAAGAUAAGAAUAAUGUGCCUACUUCUGCAAUUCAAGAAAUAAACCAGGAGUUAGAUUACAUCUGACAGCACAGACCUCUGACUCUCGUGCAGCCCAAUCCAGACAUCCAGAACAAGCAACCAUCUAAAAUCCUCCAUCCUUGAUUUACUAUACAGCAACUCCGAUGCAGAAGCCUGCAUCAAAGAGCAGCUGUAAUGCUUGAGAAGAAUGAUUCAUACAAAUGCCUGGCAGUGGAGAGGUCAUACGUACACCGCUUCAGUGUCAGAUAUUAUGAAUAAAUGGGAACACAACUGACAUCAUAAUACAACAAACAUUGCCUGACAAUCAUACUGCCCAUGUAGGCUACCAUGAGGUCAUUUUCCACUUUCAUGCCACUUCCACAA
rnacentral:lncRNA from 1 species